AUGCGGGCAUAUCACGUUUAAACACCAGUUCUCGUACGAUCACCGAAGUUAAGCAACGUUGAGCCUGGUCAAUAUCUAGAUGGGUGAUUGCUUGGGAAUAUUAGGUGCUGUAAG